CAGCAGCCGCGGUAAUACAGAGGGUGCAAGCGUUAAUCGGAAUUACUGGGCGUAAAGCGCGCGUAGGUGGUUUGUUAAGUUGGAUGUGAAAGCCCCGGGCUCAACCUGGGAACUGCAUCCAAAACUGGCAAGCUAGAGUUCGGUAGAGGGUGGUGGAAUUUCCUGUGUAGCGGUGAAAUGCGUAGAUAUAGGAAGGAACACCAGUGGCGAAGGCGACCACCUGGACUGAUACUGACACUGAGGUGCGAAAGCGUGGGGAGCAAACAGGAUUAGAUACCCCGGUAGUCCCUGUCUCUUAUAC
rnacentral:rRNA from 1 species